rnacentral:rRNA from 1 species
AAUCUUCGGCAAUGGGCGAAAGCCUGACCGAGCAACGCCGCGUGAAUGAAGAAGGCCUUCGGGUUGUAAAAUUCUGUUAUAAGGGAAGAAAGGUGAUAGGAGGAAAUGACCAUCAAUUGACGGUACCUAAUGAGAAAGCUACGGCUAACUACGUGCCAGCAGCCGCGGUAAUACGUAGGUGGCAAGCGUUAUCCGGAAUUAUUGGGCGUAAAGAGCGCGCAGGUGGUUAAUUAAGUCUGGUGUGAAAGCCCACGGCUUAACCGUGGAGGGUCAUUGGAAACUGGUUGACUUGAGUGCAGAAGAGGGAAGUGGAAUUCCAUGUGUAGCGGUGAAAUGCGUAGAGAUAUGGAGGAACACCAGUGGCGAAGGCGGCUUCCUGGUCUGCAACUGACACUGAGGCGCGAAAGCGUGGGGAGCAAACAGG